GAAAGUAAGCAAGGGCAGACGGUGGAUGCCUUGGCUCUCGGAGGCGAAGAAGGACGUGAUAAGCUGCGAUAAGCCCGGGGUAGGUGCAAAUAACCCUUGAUCCCGGGAUUUCCGAAUGGGGCAACCCGGCAGGUUGAAGGCCUGCCAUUCCGUAAGGAAGGCGAACGUGGGGAACUGAAACAUCUAAGUACCCAUAGGAGAAGAAAACAAAAGUGAUUCCGCAAGUAGUGGCGAGCGAACGCGGAACAGCCCAAACCGAUGAUGUUUAGGCAUUAUCGGGGUAGUAGGACCACGAUGUGGCAAGAAAUCAGGAAAGUAGAACGUUUUGGAAAAGACGGCCGUAGACGGUGAAAGCCCGGUAUACGACUUUCUGAAGAAGCUUAGUGGUAUCCUGAGUAGCGCGGAGCACGAGGAAUUCUGCGUGAAACAGCGGGGCCCAUCCCGUAAGGCUAAAUACUCCCGAGAGACCGAUAGCGAACCAGUACCGUGAGGGAAAGGUGAAAAGCACCUCGAACAGAGGAGUGAAAUAGUCCCUGAAACCGUCUGCCUACAAGCGGUCGGAGCAACGCAAGUUGUGACGGCGUGCCUUUUGCAUAAUGAACCUACGAGUUACUUUCUCCGGCAAGGUUAAGGGCUUCAGGCCCGUAGCCGAAGCGAAAGCGAGUCUGAAUAGGGCGUAUAGUCGGAGUGAGUAGACGCGAAACCAAGUGAUCUACCCUUGGUCAGGAUGAAGGUUGGGUAACACCAACUGGAGGUCCGAAUGGGUAUACGUUGAAAAGUGUUCCAAUGAACUGAGGGUAGGGGUGAAAGGCUAAUCAAACUUGGAGAUAGCUCGUACUCCCCGAAAUGCAUUUAGGUGCAGCCUAUGGUUAGUAUAGUAUGAGGUAGAGCGACUGAUUGGAUGCGAGGGCUUCACCGCCUAUCAAGUCCAGAUAAACUCCGAAUGUGUGCUAUAUAUUGCCAUGGAGUGAGGGCGCGGGUGCUAAGGUCCGCGUCCGAGAGGAGAAGAAUCCAGACCAUCAGCUAAGGUCCCCAAAUGACAGUUAAGUUGAACUAACGAAGUCGGACUGCAGAGACAGCUAGGAUGUUGGCUUGGAAGCAGCCAUUCAUUUAAAGAGUGCGUAACAGCUCACUAGUCGAGGAGUCCGGCAUGGAUAAUACUCGGGCAUAAACUGUCUACCGAAGCUAUGGAUGUAGUAAUACAUGGUAGGGGAGCAUUCCAACGGCGCCGAAGGUAAAGGAUGACCUUUGCUGGAGCUUUUGGAAAAGCAAAUGUAGGUAUAAGUAACGAUAAAGGAGGUGAGAAACCUCCUCGCCGAAAGACUAAGGUUUCCUGAUCAACGUUAAUCGGAUCAGGGUAAGUCGGGACCUAAGGAUAAGCCGAACGGCGAUUCCGAUGGAAGAAUGGUUUAAUAUUCCCAUACUACUUUAUGGAGCGAUGUGGAGACGGAGAAGUGACAGUCCUGCCGACUGACGGAAUAGUCGGUUGAAGGGUGUAGACGUAGAUUCCUGUAGGCAAAUCCGCAGGGAGAGUCGAACCUAACAGUAUGCUGAGUGCUUGCACAAGGCAAUAUGGAUGUAAUCAGGCUCCCUAGAAAAUCCGCUAAGCAUAUUCAUAAAGUACCCGUACCGUAAACGGACACACGUAGUUGGGUUGAAAAUACUGAGGCGCUCGAGUGAUUCACGGUUAAGGAACUAGGCAAAUUGACCCUGUAACUUCGGGAUAAAGGGUCCCUACUGAGAGGUAGGGCGCAGAGAAUAGGUCCAGGCAACUGUUUAACAAAAACACAUGGCUGUGCGAAAUAGAAAUAUGAGGUAUACAGCCUGACACCUGCCCGGUGCUGGAAGGUUAAGAGGAGAGCUUAUCGCAAGAGAAGGUUUGAAUUGAAGCCCCAGUAAACGGCGGCCGUAACUAUAACGGUCCUAAGGUAGCGAAAUUCCUUGUCGGGUAAGUUCCGACCUGCACGAAUGGUGUAAUGAUCUGGACACUGUCUCAACCGUGAGCU
rnacentral:rRNA from 1 species